AGGAGUGCAGCUCAGUGGUGGAGCGUGUGCUUAGUGUGCAGGGGGUCCUGGGUUCCAUCCCCAGUACUUCGA
rnacentral:tRNA from 1 species